CAGCCUGCAAGGGAAUGUUGACAAGGUAACUAAGCAACACUGGCAAGGAAAGUUCUUAUUUUUCUUUUCCUCUUGAUGUCUUCUGCCUUAUUAGUUGAAAAUUCAAAGUGUCCUUGCCAGGAUGAGGAAGAAAUGAAGCAAUUCUCCCAUUCACUCUGGAGAGAUCCAUCUUUCUAGGUGUGACCACCUCUAAAGAGAUGUUGGUAGUACAGAAGGGUGGGCAGGACAGAAAGGAGAGAAACCAAAGCUGGUAUUAGUUCGGGGAAAGAAGUUCACUAUCUCAUCUACAGGAUGGAGGACUCCUGGCAGGACCAGCCGGCAGGGCGAUUCACCAUAGGAAGAUUACAACUCAGCUGUGACCUCUGCUAGAGUGAUCCUGCUGGAGGAUUCAACUGCACCCUCAGAAACUCUCAAGAGAGAAAAGACAACCAUCUACCUGUGGGCUUUUCAACUGGCCUUGGUGAAAACAGAUGGAUAUAGAGGACAGGCCAGAAAUGAGGACAGACUCCAAAGCCAAAGUAGUAGGCAUGACAGUAAAUACUGCGAUCCCUCAGAGAAACCUGCACCGUCAAGCAAGAAUUAACAUAGAGAUUUAUGGCUACACAAAUGCACAAAAUGUACCUGGUUCCACCCUUCGGAAACCUUCCUGCUAUUGUUUCAAAAGCAAGCUACUAAACUGUUUAGUUUCAAGAUUCAUUCAAGUACAGGGCUCAAAUGGUAAAGCCAAAUAGAGGAAGUCUUAAAAAAAACUGGGGUAAAUUUCAGCCAAAAAUUAAAAGUUGUGGAUUAUGACAUACUGGUUACCAGUGGAAGGAACACAAAUAAAAUGAGUUAGUAAAAUCCAUUUAGUAAAAACAACUCCUCAACAGAGUUGUUCUAAAUGAAAAAAGGGGGGGGGGGCACAAACUGAAGAAAUUGGGGCAUGCACACUACAAAGCAGUAAGUAUACACCUGGCAUCUUCCAAGAAUUUCUCUAAUAAUGCUUUUGCACAGUCUCCCUAAUAACUCUACCGAGAUCAUGUCAAUUAUUUUAGUAAUUUAUGGCUGCAGUCUUGCCAAAUGUCUGCCAUGCUGGAGGGAAGAAAAUUGGAACUUUGAGUUAAUAAAGAUUAUCUGAUUACAUGGGCAGGGUCAGAAGUCAGAACAGUAUGCUUUUAUUAAAAGCACCUCUAAGGGACAACAGGAAAAAUGCUUAAUCUCAUUUGUGAUUAAAGAAAUGCAAAAGACAAGAGCAUACUUCCCUCCCAUCGGUCUGGCAGAAAUGAAAAACAGCGAUUAUAAUACAAAGUGUGAGUGGGGUGCAGGAUGCAAGGAAAAAAAUCCUCUUGUAUCUUGUUAGAGAGAAGGUAAAGCGGCACACCCUUCCUACAGGACGCUAUGGCAAUCUUAAAUAUCCUAAAAAUUGCAUUCAACCUAGCUGUACUAUCUCCAGAAAUUUAUCCAAGGAAAUCAUUGGAUAAGAUUGUCCACUGGAGCCUUCCUUAUAAUAUCCCCCUUCCUUUUGUCUUCAUUUUCACUUCUCUGUAUUUUUUUUUCCUACAGUGAUUUGGGGGAGGGAGGGUAGUUAAUUCUAAAAUUAAAGAAACUGUACAAGAUUAUCUUCCACUACAAUUAUCCUGUUUUCCUUACUGGAGCAGACCAGGACAAUCACUGCCCUUACACUUUGUUAAUGAUGCCUUUGGGCACUUCUUGGGCAACCCAGGUCUGCCUUGUUGCUCUUCUCCUGCUGCUACUGUGCAAAAUUUCAAAGGAAUCCUUCCUUAUGCAUCAUUUUCAUAAUGAAAUGUUUGUAAAGAGCCUUCCAGUGCUUCAAAGAUUUUGCUUUUUGUUGUUGUUGUUGGUACCACUGGUAAUAUGCAGCACUUUCUGGAAGUGCUCUGUGU